rnacentral:rRNA from 1 species
UACGAGAGGUCCAAACGUUAUUCGGAAUCACUGGGCUUACAGAGUUCGUAGGCGGUUCUACAAGUGAGGUGUGAAAGCCCUCGGCUCAACCGAGGAACUGCGCUUCAAACUGUAGAACUAGAGGGAGAUAGAGGUGAGCAGAACUGAUGGUGGAGCGGUGAAAUGCGUUGAUAUCAUCAGGAAUACCGGAGGCGAAGGCGGCUCACUGGGGCCUUUCUGACGCUGAGGAACGAAAGCUAGGGGAGCGAACGGG